GACGAACGCUGGCGGCGUGCUUAACACAUGCAAGUCGAACGGAAAGGCCCUGCUUUUGUGGGGUGCUCGAGUGGCGAACGGGUGAGUAACACGUGAGUAACCUGCCCUUGACUUUGGGAUAACUUCAGGAAACUGGGGCUAAUACCGGAUAGGAGCUCCUGCUGCAUGGUGGGGGUUGGAAAGUUUCGACGGUUAGGGAUGGACUCGCGGCUUAUCCGCCUGUUGGUGGGGUAGUGUCUUACCAAGGCUUUGUCGGGUAGCCGGCCUGAGGGGGUGACAGGACACAUUGGGACAGAGUUACAGCCCAGACUCCUUCGGGAGGCAGCCGUGAGGAAUAUAGCACAAUGAGCGGAAGCCGAUUGCAGCAACGCCGCGUGCGGAAUCACGGCCUUCGGGUUAUAAACCGCUUUCGCCGGUGACGAAGGAUGAGUGACGGUAGUUGGUAAAGAAGCACCGGCUAACUACGUG
rnacentral:rRNA from 1 species